rnacentral:rRNA from 1 species
AGCGAACGCUGGCGGAAUGCUUAACACAUGCAAGUCGCACGGGGGCUUCGGCCUUAGUGGCGGACGGGUGAGUAACGCGUAGGAAUGUGUCCGAGGGUGGGGAUAACGUUGGGAAACUGACGCUAAUACCGCAUAUCCCCUGAGGGGGAAAGCAGAGAUGCGCCCACGGAGCAGCCUGCGUCCGAUUAGCUAGUUGGUUAGGUAAAGGCUGACCAAGGCGACGAUCGGUAGCUGGUCUGAGAGGAUGAUCAGCCACACUGGGACUGAGACACGGCCCAGACUCCUACGGGAGGCAGCAGUGGGGAAUAUUGGACAAUGGGCGAAAGCCUGAUCCAGCAAUGCCGCGUGAGUGAUGAAGGCCUUAGGGUUGUAAAGCUCUUUUACCAGGGAUGAUAAUGACAGUACCUGGAGAAUAAGCUCCGGCUAACUCCGUG